GUGAGUGUGCGUGCGGCUGGUUCAGGCGCCCCUUUCCUCUGGCACUGUCAGUGCUCAGCAGGCUGCAGAAGGCAGGCUUUGGCUCCUAGUGUAGACUCUCUCCUGCUCUUUCCCUUGGUUCUGCUUUGAGCCAAAAUCCUGUAAGGAAUCUGUUCCCUGGGGCCCUGGGGCUGGAGGAUGGGGACCAGCAGGGAGUAGAUAUUACAGGAGAGGUCUGUCGUUGUCAUGGACUCUUUCUCAGUCUAGAAUCUGUCCUCCACUGCUCUGUCAAAGGGUCCACAAGGAAGGAGCAAUUCAGCCCCAAAAUCUGACCCUGCUGGGAGAAGUACAGGAUGAAGGUGGUCUGUGUCCAUUCUCAGAAGGAAACUUCCUCUCUACCCACUGUCCCUGUCACCCUGCUUCCCAGGGUUCUCUGUUCAGAGUGACCCCAGAUGAGAGCCAAGGUCUUUUAAAAUCAACGACAGUCUUGUAAUUUUCUCUCCCUCACCUGGGGUCUUUGCUUGGGAGAGGAGGAGAAGCUGACUUCUUGUUCUUUCUGGGUUCUAGAACCUUGUAUGGAGCCCAGCACACAGCUGGUGCUGAAUAGGUCUCCCUGGCUUGGGUCAGUGCUGGGGCUCUAACUCCCACUGUCUCUGGGUGAGGCUGUAAGUCAGAGCCAGGCACAGGAGGAGAGCAUCAUGCUGCAGCCUGCCUGGAGCUAGGCUGGAGGUGGACAAACUGACACUUCCUGGCUGCUCCCUCUGCUUUCUCUCUUGGGGGACUGUAGACCCAGGACAAAGUGGAGCCUGGGGCAGGGUGGGGACGGCAUCUGGACAGGAAAGAGGCAGAGAAAGUCAUUUGUCGUGACCUACUUUCCUAAGCUCCCCUUGGCUCCUGUCUCUCCUGCCUGGACUGUCCUCCUCCUGCCCACUCAACACCCAAGCUCAAAGCAGCAGCUUGGCGUAAUGCCAUGCAGUGUGACAAGACCUCUCCGGAAGCACUCUGGGCAGCUGGCUUUGGUCUGACUGAAUGGGGAGCUAGGCCUCUGAGGCCGUGACUUGUAGGGGUGACUGGCUGGCACAGAGUGGGUACUUCAUAACCUCGGACUGUGCAAAUGCAUGAAUUGAUCAAGCUGGAUCCCUGGGGCAGGGGCAGGGGCAGGGAAGGCAUGGGUCUAUUGGGGUGACCAGCUCUGAGGAGUUUCUAUCUGUCUGGGAGGUGAGGUACUUUGCUUCAAGCACAUUAGGGUGAUGGAAGGGACGGGGCAGUCUCUGCCACAGGCAGGGGAAGGGGGCAGAGAAGCUUGCAAUGCCUCCCACUCCCCACGGAUCACUGGGCAGGAAGGACGGCCUGCCUGUUUCCCGGGUGCUGGUUACAGGAGGCAGCAGGAAGAAAAGGGACUUUCCAAGAUGAGAGCUGGAGCCGAGAAUGUUAACAGAUCUUAUCAACAGGAUACUGGAGAUAGACAGCUAUGAUGGAGUAGCUCCUGGGAGCCCUCGCUGGGAACAGACUCGCCCUUGUGAUGCCACUCUGGGAAAAGCCUGUGCAGGGCUAGGGCUUGGAGCUCCUGAACCGUACUGUCCACUUAGAGUGGCCAGCCUCUGUCACAGUAACAGGAACAUCGAGGAUCAGAACAGUAAGUUUCUACCUUAUACCCAGGAACCUGUGUUACGUGUUAACCUGUAUCUCUCCCUUGAGUCCUGCUAUGGGCUUGCAAGGGAGGUGACUCUAGUUCUCAGUGUGCAGAUGACUGGGUGCAGACAAGGAAAAGCCAAUCUUCCUGACUUCAAAACAGGAGCAUGCUCUUUCCCUGUUUGGGGAAGUGCGCCAACUCUGAAGGUGCGGAUACUCAGGGCUUAGCUCUUUCCGAUAGGGAAGGUAAUGGUAGUUUUUACCAAGCAUCUGGAGGAACAGCACCCUCAACCCAGCCUGGCAUCUAUCUUCUCAUUUCAACGGGGCCAGAACCUGAGUAUUACAAACCCAGCUGCUAACAAGAGGCAAACAGAAAAGCACGUUGGCCAACCGGAGAGGGAAGCUUGCUAUGUACCACCAAGCCAUCUUGCUGGCCAGAGCCCAGACUUUGUUUUAAGAGUCUCUCUCUUUAGUUGUGGCUGUUCUGGAACUUCUUUUGUAAGCCAGACUGAUCCCAAACUCUCAGACUGAUCUCAAAUCCUCCUGCCUCUGCCUCCUAAGCACUGGGAUUAAAGGUGUGCACCACAUCUCAUUCUGAGUCCAUACAUUUAACAGUUCCUCUAGUCUAGAAAGAUCGCAGCAAUGGCAAACCAUCACUGCAUUCUAUUACAAUUGCAUGAAGGACGGGAAAAAGCACUGAGGUUUAUGCCCUUGGAGGGAGGAGACCCCUAAGGAGAGAGGCAGGGCCCCUGGACCAAUCUAAGUUGCAUGUUCCCUUGGGGGCCUCUGGAGAACACAGAUGCUGGGCUACACACUCUCUACAACGGCCUAUCCAAGGCUAUGUGAGACACCCGCAUCUUCACAAGGCACCCCAGGAGAUCAGAUUAGAAGUGCAGGAAGAGGCCUGGAGGAGGAAGAGGAGGAAGAGGAGGAAGAGGAGGAGGAGGAGGAGGAAGAGGAGGAGGACUGUGCUGUGGCUGCAGCUCUGCCACUGUCUGACUGUGAAGGCCCAGUCAGCUGGACAGAGGGUUUGGAGCCAAGGCUCAGAGCUCACUCCAGUGGGCUCAUAUCACAGGACCUGUGCGGUGCAGUCGGACAACCUGGCUCACUGGUGGUGAGAAAGGAUUGUCAACAACCUCUCAAUUCUCCAGGUUCUAGCAAGUUCCAGAAAGGAACCUGAAAAGUGACCUUUUGUUGGUGCCUGCCCUGGGCAGGCCCAGUUGUGCUGCAGGCAGAGGCUGGACUGCUACAGAUCUGACACUCAUUCCAAGAUCUGCGGUCAACGGAUUUCUAAGUGGCUGACAGCACCCAUUCCUUCCUUCGGUACGGGUGACAAUCCACACUUUGUCUUGGGCCUUGUUUGCUCCAUGUGUUGACACGUUGUUCUGCUUCCCAGCAAGCUUGGCUUUCUUUCCCUCCCUUUCCUCUUCUCCAGGAAGGAAAUGUGCUCUUUACAGAGGCAAGGCCUGCCAAGGAGCAACUCUGGCACCCGAGAUGGCAGUAAGGUAGAGACCAGCAAGGACUCCUGUCAGCUGUUCUGUUUCUCCACACUCUGGCUGCAGACACUCCCACACUGGGAGGGCAGAGGCCUGUGUGUGAGCUGUGGGGGUAUUCAUUCAUUUCCUGCUCUGGGUGGGUGGUGAGAAGUUGGCUUUGGUGGCCAGAAGCAGGCUUAGACCCCUGCACUGUGACAAAGCAGGGAAUUAGUUUGUCCUAAAACUUAAUAGGCACUGGACUGAACAAUGAGGCCUUCACAGCCCAGGCAAUAUUUGCAAAGGAGACCAGGUACAGCUGUGCCCACCACAAGGAGAAAGGGAGGCACCAGGAAGGGAGUGCUAGAGGCCGGGCUGGGGACUCCUGGGUUGGCUUCCACACAGCGUCCAAAGGUGUGUGUGGGGACAGAAGAACACAAGGCCUUGGCUGAAGGAAUCUGGGGAGCCUGUUCCUGGGCUUCGAUAGAGUUAGCAGAGGUUUCCCACUGGGAACAGCUGUGAGGUGUCUUCUCCCAGCCAGGACCUCCCAUUGGGCUGCUAGGGAGUGGCUGGGACUAAGGGCGCCACCUGGGUGAGCUAUCAGACACCACACAGCUGAGAAAGCAUUGCAGGGCCUAAAAAAAAUAAUCUCAUGUUUGGUCAUAUGACCUCUCUGUGA